rnacentral:rRNA from 1 species
AUGCUAAAUGCGGGACAAAAGGAAAUUAAGAAUUUUGUAUCAAGUACCAGGUGCUAUUACCAGGCAAAUCAGAAACAAGUUGCCGCAAAACCAUACAAGGAACAACAAUAUAACUUCUUAUUGAUAUAUGAUUGGCGUUUUGCACAGCACAUCCCAGUAUUAUUUCACUUCCCAAAACUACCAAGUUAUAAAAGGGCAAUACAUCUUAAUGUCAGCGUGUACAUCGCUUCCCCAAAACAUAUCUGUAAGAACAAAAAUGUGUUGUUUGUUACUGAAUUCCUGGUAAAACUGGAUGCCUUUUUUGAGGAGGCAGAUUCAUAA